GACGAACGCUGGCGGCGUGCCUAACACAUGCAAGUCGAACGGAAAGGCUCCAGCUUGCUGGAGUGGUCGAGUGGCGAACGGGUGAGUAACACGUGGGUAAUCUGCCCUGCACUCUGGGAUAAGCCUGGGAAACUGGGGCUAAUACCGGAUAUGAGCUUUCGCCUCAUGGGGUUUGGUGGAAAGUUUUUCGGUGUAGGAUGCGCCCGCGGCCUAUGAGCUUGUUGGUGGGGUGAUGGCGUACGAAGGCGACGGCGGGUAGCCGGCCUGAGAGGGUGAUCGGCCACAUUGGGACUGAGAUACGGCCCAGACGCCUACGGGAGGCAGCAGUGGGGAAUAGUGCACAAUGGGCGGAAGCCUGAUGCAGCGACGCCGCGUGGGGGAUGACGGCCUUCGGGUUGUAAACCUCUUUCAGCAGGGACGAAGCGUAAGUGACGGUACCUGCAGAAGAAGCACCGGCUAACUAUGUG
rnacentral:rRNA from 1 species